rnacentral:piRNA from 1 species
UCCUAGGCUACGUGUCUCUGCCCUCUCAAA